rnacentral:rRNA from 1 species
UACGUAGGGUGCGAGCGUUGUCCGGAAUUAUUGGGCGUAAAGGGCUCGUAGGCGGUUUGUCACGUCGGGAGUGAAAACUCAGGGCUCAACCCUGAGCGUGCUUCCGAUACGGGCAGACUAGAGGUAUGCAGGGGAGAACGGAAUUCCUGGUGUAGCGGUGAAAUGCGCAGAUAUCAGGAGGAACACCGAUGGCGAAGGCAGGUCUCUCGGCAUUAACUGACGCUGAGGAGCGAAAGCAUGGGGAGCGAACAGG